rnacentral:rRNA from 1 species
CCUACGGGAGGUAGCAGUGGGGAAUUUUGGACAAUGGGCGAAAGCCUGAUCCAGCAAUGCCGCGUGAGUGAAGAAGGCCUUCGGGUUGUAAAGCUCUUUUGUCAGGGAAGAAACGGUGAAAGCUAAUAUCUUUUGCUAAUGACGGUACCUGAAGAAUAAGCACCGGCUAACUACGUGCCAGCAGCCGCGGUAAUACGUAGGGUGCAAGCGUUAAUCGGAAUUACUGGGCGUAAAGCGUGCGCAGGCGGUUUUGUAAGUCUGAUGUGAAAUCCCCGGGCUCAACCUGGGAAUUGCAUUGGAGACUGCAAGGCUAGAAUCUGGCAGAGGGGGGUAGAAUUCCACGUGUAGCAGUGAAAUGCGUAGAUAUGUGGAGGAACACCGAUGGCGAAGGCAGCCCCCUGGGUCAAGAUUGACGCUCAUGCACGAAAGCGUGGGGAGCAAACAGGAUUAGAUACCCUGGUAGUCCACGCCCUAAACGAUGUCUACUAGUUGUCGGGUCUUAAUUGACUUGGUAACGCAGCUACGCGUGAGUAGACCGCCGNGGGAGGUACGGUCGGUCGAGAGUUAAACGUACGAAGAAGUUAGNGGCGNGAGAGNGCCGACGGACGACGACGAGGGAGGAGG